CAGCCGCCGCGGUAAUACGUAGGGUGCAAGCGUUAAUCGGAAUUACUGGGCGUAAAGCGUGCGCAGGCGGUUAUAUAAGACAGAUGUGAAAUCCCCGGGCUCAACCUGGGAACUGCAUUUGUGACUGUAUAGCUAGAGUACGGCAGAGGGGGAUGGAAUUCCGCGUGUAGCAGUGAAAUGCGUAGAUAUGCGGAGGAACACCGAUGGCGAAGGCAAUCCCCUGGGCCUGUACUGACGCUCAUGCACGAAAGCGUGGGGAGCAAACAGGAUUAGAUACCCCGGUAGUCCCUGUCUCUUAUAC
rnacentral:rRNA from 1 species